rnacentral:rRNA from 1 species
GGGGAAUAUUGCACAAUGGGGGAAACCCUGAUGCAGCAACGCCGCGUGAAGGAUGAAGGUUUUCGGAUUGUAAACUUCUUUUGUACGGGACGAAACAAAUGACGGUACCGUAAGAAUAAGCCACGGCUAACUACGUGCCAGCAGCCGCGGUAAUACGUAGGUGGCAAGCGUUAUCCGGAUUUACUGGGUGUAAAGGGCGAGUAGGCGGGACUGCAAGUCAGAUGUGAAAACUAUGGGCUUAACCCAUAGACUGCAUUUGAAACUGUGGUUCUUGAGUGAUGGAGAGGCAGGCGGAAUUCCCGGUGUAGCGGUGGAAUGCGUAGAUAUCGGGAGGAACACCAGUGGCGAAGGCGGCCUGCUGGACAUUAACUGACGCUGAGGCGCGAAAGUGUGGGGAGCAAAC